UACGAAGGGGGCGAGCGUUGUUCGGAUUUACUGGGCGUAAAGGGCGCGUAGGCGGCUUGUAUAGUCGGAUGUGAAAUUCCUGGGCUUAACCUGGGGGGCUGCAUACGAGACGUAUGGGCUUGAGUGCGGAAGAGGGUCGUGGAAUUCCCAGUGUAGAGGUGAAAUUCGUAGAUAUUCGCAAGAACACCAGUGGCGAAGGCGGCUCACUGGCCCGGUACUGACGCUGAGGUGCGAAAGCGUGGGGAGCAAACAGG
rnacentral:rRNA from 1 species